rnacentral:rRNA from 1 species
UACGUAGGUGGCAAGCGUUACUCGGAAUCACUAGGCGUAAAGCGCAAGCAGGCGGUUCGGUAAGUCUCUUGUGAAAGCUCCCGGCUCAACUGGGAGAGGUCAAGGGAAACUACCGGGCUAGAGUGUGGUAGAGGAAGCUGGAAUUCCCGGUGUAGCGGUGAAAUGCGUAGAUAUCGGGAGGAAUACCUAUGGCGAAAGCAGGCUUCUGGGCCAUCACUGACGCUGAGUUGCGAAAGCUAGGGGAGCAAACAGG